rnacentral:rRNA from 1 species
GCGCACCAGGCGAGAAUCCUUCGCAAUGCGGGAAACCGCGACGAGGGGACUCCCAGUGCCUACGCUCAGCGUAGGCUGUUCCCGAGCCUAGAAAGCUCGGGGAGUAAGGGCUGGGUAAGACGGGUGCCAGCCGCCGCGGUAAUACCCGCAGCCCGAGUGGUGGCCACUAUUAUUGGGGCCUAAAAGCGUCCGUAGCCGGCCCGGUAAAAUGCCUGGGUAAAUCGUGAGGCCUAACCUCACGAAUUCCGGGUAGACUGCCGGGCUAGGGACCGGAGGAGGGAGAGGGUACUCCAGGGGUAGGGGUGAAAUCCUGUAAUCCCUGGAGGACCACCGGUGGCGAAGGCGCUCUCCUAGGACGGGUCCGACGGUGAGGGACGAAAGCCAGGGGAGCGAACCGGAUUAGAUACCCGCGUAGU